CAAUAGCGUAUAUUAAAGUUGUUGCAGUUAAAAAGCUCGUAGUUGGAUUUUUGGAUCGAACGCUUCGUCCGCCGCUGUGCGGUGUGUACUGAGGUUUUGUUUCGAUUCAUCCUUGCAGGGAAGCGAGUUCGAGAUUAAUUUGUCGGCUCGGGGAACUGCAUCUUUUACUGUGAAAAAAUUAGAGUGUUUAAAGCAGGCAUUUUGCUGUGAAUACAUUAGCAUGGAAUAAUAACAUAGGACUUUGGUUCUAUUUUGUUGGUUGGAGGCCAAGGUAAUGAUUAAUAGGGACAGUUGGGGGUAUUCAUAUUUAAUUGUCAGAGGUGAAAUUCUUGGAUUUAUGAAAGAUGAACUCAUGCGAAAGCAUUUACCAAGGAUGUUUUCAUUAA
rnacentral:rRNA from 1 species